UGGUUUUAUUUUCAAAAUGUUUCAGAAGUUAUUCUACUAUAAAGGAACAUGGCUGAACAGUUAGGAGACUGACCCUCCUUUGUGGGUUCUCCUGAUAGCUUCUGCAAGGAUCAUGGAGAUGUCAGACACCUGUAUUUUGGAGCAAUGCUUCAACUCAUCCUACUGAGGUACAGUAUUGGUGACUAUAUAUAAUUGGUGACUGCUUCAAAGCAUGCGUUGUUGAUGCAAGAAAUGACUGGGUCAGAAAAGAUUCCAUGAGUCAAGAUAGCAUAAACUUUGGCAGCUCCAGCUGAGAGAAGUUUGUCAGCAGCAAGACAGAUUGUACCCCAAGUGUCAGCCAUGUCAUCCACAAGUAUGGCCACCCGAUCCUUCAUAUCUCCUACUAGCACCCUGUGAUCCACUUCGUUGGCCUUCUUCCAUUCCCUUGUGAGUCAAGGCAAAAUCCACAUUCAAUCGGUCUGCAAUGGAGUCACUCUUGGCUCCACCAGCAUCAGGUCUCCUGGUUGCUGAAUUUCUUAGUCACCACCUUGCCUAGCUCCAGGCUUAGGCGGUCAGCAGUUUUCUGGGAUAAGUCCUGUUGGGAUAUCCUGCUGAAGAUUUUGAUGUUAGGCAUCUUGGGCAACUACACAAAUGCGCCCUUCGCUCAGUGGUCAUCGCUGGUGCAGAGAUUGGAUCCGAAGUAAGCUGGUAGCCUAUACACCUACAGCACCGCUGCUGCUCAGCCAUCUUACAUUCUUGGAGCACACAGCUCUAAAUCACACACUGAGCACCAAGCGAGGAGGCGGGAUCACAGAUCACAAAGAUGGUCCUUUACUUUGAAACAAAACAAAACAAAACAAAACAAAACAACAACAACAAAGGAGCCGAGAGA
rnacentral:lncRNA from 1 species